rnacentral:tRNA from 2 species
GGUAAAAUGGCUGAGUAAGGCGGUAAAUUGUAAAUUUACUUACGGAAUUUUCCUUUUACUA